UCGCAUAGUUCCAACUGAGUGGAGGUCAUGGAAUAUUCGUCAAACCCCAUCACCCGUCAUAUGACAAAUUUGAUCAGACAGAAGCUCUUAUGGUUACUCUUGGAAACAUCUUUCCAUACACCAUAUUACCCCGGCCGAGGAUUUCUGAGCUUUGCCGUACAAAUAGCAUAGAACUAAUUAUCUCUCUACCGAGAGCGAUAGAUCCCCUAUAAACACACACCCAUUCCUGAUAUGAACCGACUGCAGCCAACAUAUACUACUAAGACCCAUGGCUAGGAUCAGAGUUUGUUGCAUAGUCAAACUACAGUAGCCUCAUAUUGAAUGGCCGUGGUGUCGCAGGUCUAAGGAUCAGUUGUACCACUGCAACAUCGAACCAGUUACUGACGAAUGAGUAGACAUCCAUGUAACUGUUCGUAGUUGGUCACGCUCAGUACCCUUGUUCUCCAACAACCACCUGCAUGUCCGCUCCAGUGUCCCCACACUGAUGACUUGAGAUUCGUCAUCCCAAAAGGGAAGCGGCACACACAUCAAUCUUACCG
rnacentral:lncRNA from 1 species